AGCCGUAAAACCAAAUAUAUCAUCGACAACUGACCAGAUUAUUAUAAAAGAAGGCGAGCCUCUGCGUCUACAUUGCUCUGGCAACUCGGACAUUUUCUUCACGUAUCCAACUAACCGAACAUAUUUUUCUUAUACAGUUGUUUAUUAUACAUCACCCAUCGAAAUAAA